CAAGUUAACAGUUUGUGUUCUGUGUUUUCUUUCUGUCCAGACUGUAGAGACUCCUCCGCUGCUAGGUUCACAUCGGAGCAAGAACUGAUCACAUGGUGCUGAAACACUUGGGUUGGAUCCUUAAAAAGCGUUUGCCUUGUGGAAAUAGAGCUGAUAGUGUGGCUUGUGUCCUGUGUGCUGACCUCAUGGUGUAAGCAGGUGUGAAGAUGAGUAUUAGCAGCGAUGAGGUCAACUU